AUAAGAGAAUAGAAUGCGCUGUUACUAAUGGGUGCGAUCAUACCAGCACUAA
rnacentral:rRNA from 1 species